UCCAGAUAGCAGCACUAUGUUCAGUCCACAAGGGGGGGUCAGUGACAGCAGAGGGUGGAUGUUUAUGGAGGGCAGAGAAGAGGAAGAAGAAGAGCGAGGGGAGACAGGUGAUGGAAAUAGUCAACUUCUUGAGGAGGAGGUUAGCCGCCAGCAUGCGACUACCUGACUUGUUUGGGUGAAGACCGUCUCAAACAAGGAAGAACGAUCCCAGAAUAAGUUCAAGUUGUGAAUAAAACCAACGGCAUGGGUGCUGCAGACAGACUGGAGCCAGGUAUGAAGGCUGAGGAUCCUGCUCCAGUUGAAAUAUUGAAUGGUUAAAGGGAAAGACGCAACGUGUGACACUAGCAUCCACUUGUAAAUAGUUAUUAAAAUAAGUGAUAAGACAGUUAGGAGUGGGAAGACAACUUGGUCUUUAAAGCAGAAGAGGUGCACAUCAGAAAUGUUAAUUAAUUAUCAUUAUGCUUCUUUAAGCAUUAUUAUGUUUGAACAAUGUUUACUUCCAUCUGCUGUGCAUCAAACUAUCUCCACUCAUUAAAAAAAUUUUUUUUUUUAAAGAAAAAAGCAGUCAAAAGAUGAAUUGAGAAUUAAAAUAACAAAGUUAGUUGCGCCCCUAAAUAUAAUGCAAAAACAACAGCAGGCUUGAAUCCACACCUCUUUGUCUCAACAAAAACUUGACAUUGUAAGCUUCACAUAGAUAGGUUGCAUCAGAUUGCAUUCAGUUGUACAGGUGUACCUAAUAAACUGGUAAAAUGAGGACAUUUUACUCACUCUGUUUGUUUACCUCAGCGUUUAGAAGAAAAAAUAUCCCUCUCUUGACUCCUAUUGCAUUUGAAUUGCGAUCAUUUUAUGGUCACAAAGCAAAAGAAAGAGAGGUUUGAGAGAGAGACCUAGAGAAAGAGUGGGUGUGAGAGAGAGAGCCGGAGGGCAGACAGCAGAGAGUCAGUCAACAACAUGCUGAACAUCUGGUGUGUCCCCUCCCGGCCUGACCAACUCAUUGUGAUUCCUGUUGCGUGGUGGCCAGCUGGUCACUGAGUGCUCGGCCGCCUGCUCUGAAACAGAGCCCAUUCCAGUCCGAGGCACUACAGCGCACUGCAACAGCUGCUCACGCUGAAAACAAGCUGACCUUCUUUCUUACAGCAGAAUGAAAGAUGGAAGCGAGGUCAGUCAGUCAGUCCGCACUCUGCGGCGCACGUUAACGCGGCUCGAUUACCUGUACCUCUGACUGUGUGACUAUGACAGUGUGUAAUGUGAAAGGGGGUCGCUCGUAGUGAGGAACCCACAGAAAAUGAUCUCCAGCUCUGCAGCCUUACAGAGCUCGUUGGCCUCUUUUAACUCGUUGUUUUGAUUUUACAGGAUGUUAUUGUAAGGUUCAGUUACGUAAGGUCCCGUCAACCCUUUUUUUCUAGCAGUAGCCUGGAUCCGGACCUUUGAAUUGCUACUCACAGCUUCAGUUCUUUCAGUGAAUCAAGCCGUUCCCUGUACCCUGUUCUUGGACAGGAUUGACUGACAUUGCUUCAUCCUCUGCAUGAAGAAAAUAUUGCAGUUCAAAGGCAGUUUUCAGCCGUAAGCAGCACUCUAGAGGCACGCUCCACCUUCAAAAAGUCAUUCAAAUGGACAGUUCUGCUCGCUGUCACGUACUUCCAGUGUGGAUAUCUUCACUGAAAUCACCAACUAUUCAGUUUUCAACCCUAUGUACUAGAAAUUAAGUUUAUUUACGACAUAUUUGCAAAGCUAAUGUGUUUUGAAGGAAACAUACAUUUUCUAUAAACACAAUUAGGAAAUGUUGUUAAUUAAACAAUACAAUAUUUGUCAUAGCAACUAAAGCAUGAUUAAACAUUUUUAACACAA